rnacentral:rRNA from 1 species
UACAGAGGUCCCAAGCGUUGUUCGGAUUCACUGGGCGUAAAGGGUGCGCAGGCGGCCGUAUGUGUGAGGCGUGAAAGCCCGGGGCUUAACCCCGGAAUUGCACCUCAAACUAUACGGCUAGAGCAUUGGAGAGGGUAGCAGAAUUCAUGGUGUAGCAGUGAAAUGCGUAGAUAUCAUGAGGAAUACCAGAGGCGAAGGCGGCUACCUGGACAAUUGCUGACGCUCAGGCACGAAAGCGUGGGGAGCAAAAGGG